rnacentral:rRNA from 1 species
AACUAACGCUGGCGGCGCGUCUUAAGCAUGCAAGUCGGACGGGAACUUUGGGGGGUAACUCCUGAGGUGAGAGUGGCGAACGGGUGAGUAACACGUAGGUGAUCUGCCCUUGGGUGGGGAAUAGCCCAUGGAAACAUGGGGUAAUACCGCAUGAGGUCUUGAGCUUUUGAGCUCUUGAUGAAGGGAGCAAUUGCUUCGCCUGGGGAUGAGCCUGCGGUCCAUUAGCUAGUUGGUGAGGUAAGGGCCCACCAAGGCGACGAUGGAUAGCCGGCCUGAGAGGGUGAACGGCCACACUGGAACUGAGACACGGUCCAGACUCCUACGGGAGGCUG